CACAAACAUACACACAAUCCGUCAAUGAAGUAAAAUGAAAAAAGGAAAAGAUAUACAGGGACCUUGGGGCGAACUAUUCUAUACUGAUAAGAUAUUUCAAGUGUUAGCUGCAUGCGUUUUAACUUUAUUUGCAAUCAUUAAUAUUGUAUAUCUGAUAGGCCGUUGUCCGUGGUUGACACUGAACUAUGUAUUCUAUGCUAUGCUUAUAGCCUUUGGAUAUUAUAUCGGUUACGCAAGGUGCAAAUCUAAUAUUAGGAAAAGCCAGAAUACCUUAAAAGAAAUGAUAUGUGAGUAGAAUAUUAAGAAAGUUUGAUACAAAUAAAAACAGCUGCAGUCUACAAACAGUGCAUGAUUAGCUCUGGACGUUCACAAUCUGAAAGAAUUCAAAAUAAUAUUUUAUAUUCAGAUAUUUCAGGUUGACUUCAUAUCAAUGUGACACUUAAUUUUAAUAUUCUCAAUUAUCCGACAUAAUGCAUGCACCAUACUUAUGUUUAGAGUGUACGUUCUCCUUGCGGGUAUUGAUUUAUCUUAGAGUGUACUUGUUCCGUGUACUAUUUGUACUAUGUAUACCAUUUGUGUGUGUAUUAUGAUAACCAUGUUCAACAAGUAAAUGCAAGCAUUAUUUUUAUUGGAUGCAGGUAUUAUGUGUUCAUUAUAAAAUUUGAAAAAAAAUACACGUAUUCAUUUAUAUAACGGUAAAAUUGACUUACCCAUUAAAUUGACUACAAAUUUAAUGUGGACAAAAUGAUUAAAAAUGUCACGCGUUAUUACCAUUUUACUAUAUAAUAAUAUCUUAUCGUUUGGAACUAUCCAUUAAAGUCCGAUAAUUUACUUUCUGAUUGACGAUAACAAUAUUAACGGUAUCAAUUCUUGUGCACCAGGUAAAUGACUCACUCUCUCCCCACAAGUGAGAACAUAUUUAAUAUAUUUUCCGAUAUUCAGUUGAUUAUUGGGUAUAUAUUAUUAGAAUAUUAGUACAUAUAAUUUAAUUAUAAGAUCAAUAAUAACAUGAAUGCAGGGUAUUCAUGUUAAUUAUAUAAAUGUGCAUCUAUAUAUUUCAUUUCUUUUUAUUUUCAGAUAACUGAAAUACUUCGUUUCUGUGAUGUCUGCGUAAAUUAUAUAAAUUUGCAUCUAUAUAUUUCAUUUUUUUUAUUAUUUUCAGAUAACUGAAAUACAUCAUUUCUGUGAUGUCUGCGUGUGAUAAAUUCAAUUGUGAAAACUCAUGGAUAUUAGUCACAGUCUUUAAACGGAUCAUUGUUAUUUUGGAUUAAAAGAAAUAUCAUCGUGGUGUAUGUGUAAAAUUCGGUGCCAAUAAUUCCUUUGUUAUUAUGUAUGAUUGAAAGAAUAGUUGUUGUGAUACUCAUCCAGCUUUGAAGAAAUACAAAUCGGCUUGAAAUCAAUAAUAAGCAUAAUAUGCAUUAUCAAGAAAGACAAUGUGUAUUAUCCUUACUAUAACUUCAUAAGAUUUUUGGACAGAGCUUUCUUGCCUCUAUUUUAUCGCCUGAAAAGAAACAACCAUUUUCGAUAAGAAUUGACCAGUGUUUCCUUUUCAUUUACUUUCGAUAGUUUGAAGUACUGAAUCAAUUAUAACAGCUGGUUCGGCUUAAUAUUACAAGGGAAAAUGUAUGAAGCAAUGUUAUGACGAGAAUUAUUUCAUUUGUCAGAUGCAUCAAAUUCAUUUUUUUUUCAUUUACUACGCAAAGUAUAUUUUAUAUUAUUUUGGUGAAAACAUAUCUGUAUGAUUAACUGUAAUACAGCGCUUUUAUUACAAUCUUCUGAGUUUUGUGUAGUUUUUCAGUGCAGUAUAUA
rnacentral:lncRNA from 1 species